UUCAAUUGAUCUCUAAAUACAUGCGUGUGUGAGAAAAUGCUCACGCAUAUGUUGCUAUUAGGCUUUUGAGCAAUACGCAGGUUCAGUUUUUUCUAAACCUCCCUCUUGAGAAAAGGUGAAACUUGAUUUAGUUUCUUUCUUGUUCUGCAACUUGUAGAUUAUUACAUGUCUGAGAUUGAGAUGCAAUCUUGCAUGAUGCAGUCUGUGCUAUUCAAUGCAUGAACUGGUUACCUGUCCGUUGCUGUAUAUGAGAUUUGAUUCCAUCCCAUCUUAUCUUUCUUGAAAGUUGGGUAAGAAAUUGAUUUGAUGUAUGACAAAUUUCCCCAUCAAAGUUGAGAAUGACCAUGUUCCAUUGCUGAAUUGCCAUCUUAGACCUAAACUAGUGUUGGUGAUUUUGUCUAGAUUUCACAUCAUUGCAUUAUUAUAUGAAGUCUAGGCUCGAGAAACUGAUGCUACAGUAACUGUAGGAAAUUAUUCUUGAUAAGGGCUUGAAACUCGAAGAUGUACCGGCAGGGGUGUAUACAAUCCAUGCUUGCGCUUAAAAUUGCUUGGUGCAGAAGGAUCACCUAUGAGAUGCAUCCUUAUCAAAAAAACUUCUCCAAGGGCGUAGAAAUUAUCAAAAAUGCUGAAUGAGAAAGGCAUUGCAUGCAUGUUCUCCUCAAGAUGCAGACUUACUUUGAUGGGACACGUUUUGCGGAGAAAACUUUAGCGAUCAUUUGAAUAUGUGAUAUUACUAUAGGCAAAGCAAAGGCUAGGGUUAUGUUCACAUAAAUGAUGUUACGCUUUUAAAAUAAGACUUGUCUGGAUUGUUUCUCAUGUUUCUUCUUUUCUAUUACUAAAGAGUUUCUGGGGAUUGAGUUCAUUUGUUAUAGUGACUCAUGAAUAGAAAGCCUGUCCAUGCAAAUUCUCUCUUCCA